GUAGGUGGCAAGCGUUGUCCGGAAUCAUUGGGCGUAAAGCGCGCGCAGGCGGUUCUUUAAGUCUGAUGUGAAAGCCCACGGCUCAACCGUGGAGGGUCAUUGGAAACUGGAGAACUUGAGUACAGAAGAGGAAAGCGGAAUUCCACGUGUAGCGGUGAAAUGCGUAGAGAUGUGGAGGAACACCAGUGGCGAAGGCGGCUCUCUGGUCUGUAACUGACGCUGAGGCGCGAAAGCGUGGGGGGGAGCAAACAGGAUUAGAUACCCUGGUAGUCCACGCCGUAAACGAUGAGUGCUAAGUGUUAGGGGGUUUCUGCCCCUUAGUGCUGCAGCUAACGCAUUAAGCACUCCGCCUGGGAGUACGGCCGCAAGGCUG
rnacentral:rRNA from 1 species